CCACGCCUGUAAGCCCGCCGCCCUCCGCGACCUUCUCUUCCCGGAUUGGUAGGCGGCUAGCGGCGGUGAGGCGGGCGCCUAAAUCCGGGUCCUUAGACGUUCGUCCGGGACGCAGCGCUCGCCGUCCAGCCGCGCUUCCUUCACACCUGCUGGCAUGCGUGUGGGCGCCCGCGCAGGUUCUUAAAAUGAAGAAGUUUAAUUUCCGAAAAGUUUUGGAUGGCUUGACUGCCUCCUCACUGGGCAGUGGCAGCAGCAGUAGCAGUAACAGCGGUGGGACUGGUAGUGGUCCCUUGCAUCCAGGAGGGACAGCUGGAGUUCUGAGAGAGGAGAUUCAGGAAACCUUGACUUCAGAAUAUUUCCAGAUUUGUAAGGAAUACCAGGUUGAAUCAAUAAUCAAAAUUGCUACACAUAUUUUUUGUGAGUGGAACAUCUAUACUUGUGUGAGCUGUUCACUGAGAAUCUGUAACCCACAGGACAGGCUGAGAGGUCAGCUAGGAAACAGCAGAAAACAGAAGACAAGACUGCAGUGAUAGAAAAAGAUGGAUAUCAAGCCAAAUGCAACAUCACUGCGUGCUGUCGGGCAACAGCAAAGGAUCCUGUGCACACAAAAAGAAAGUUGCACAAUAUGAAGGAAGCAGUAAAAAUGAAAUGAAGUAGAAGAGACAUGCAGAAAGAAAAAUGCUCUCGGAUGUGUCACAAUCAUCUUGAUUCUUUACCUGGAAAACCUGUAUUUUUUCCUUUGUAAUUAUCUAAUAUACUUUGUGUCAAAGAACAAGGACCUGAGUUCCACUUAAAGUAGAUGAAGUUAACAGAUACCUUUUUCGGGUUUUAUCAUGAAAUUAGAAAUGAAGAUUUUCAGUUUCUGGUAGUCAUGAACAGAGAGCCUCAGGUAAGCCCGAGAGUGCAGGCAGAUAGUCAGGAUGCUCCUGCGCAGGCUCCUCAGGUGCAGCUGUGCUGGUGGGAAAAAUCAUGCUGUUUAGCCUAACGAGGCAAAACAGAAUAAAGGCCAAGGUAAUUCAGUAGAGAGGGUCUUAAAUGCACAGCUGUAUCAGCUGCUGCCUCCUUCCCACCUGGUCUUCAUUUUUUCUCUGUGUAAUCUGUUUGCUUCCCUACUGGGCCUGCUAAGAUUAUCUGAUUCCAGGCCAAACUGAUAAUAUUUGUUAUGAGGCCUGCCAAAAUUAAUAAAAUUUGAGUUUGUCAUCUUGGUGUUCCCUGAACUAAAGUUAACUACCUGUGUCAAAUCCUAAAGUCCACUUGUUACACCAGCAUCAGGCUAAGAUGUAAAUCUCCAUUUGAACUAAGGAACAGCUACACUACAUGCACAGAGAGAUGUUUGUUUGUAAGUGGAUACAAUAGAGUGCUUGUUGGUGUUUUAAAAGCCAAAACCUGGAAUACUUUUCUUUUGACUUUACAUAUGGAGAAAAUUACGGUGUAAAAUGUAGACAAGAAUAAAAUAAUACCAAGAUGAGUAAGUCCAUUAAAAAUGUAGAUGAGCAAAUGACUUUAGCGUUAUUAAUGUUGAUUGGGAAUUUGGCCAAAUGAGCAUGUUUAUACUUGGGACCAAUUAAAAGGCUUACCAUUUUAAUCACUGGCAGAACUGGACAUUCAGUGUUUUCCUGGAUGACAAGAAUUUUCUUUUGUUGUUUUUUCAGUUUGGCUUUGUUUUGGUCUAGUGAACUGCACCAGAGUGUCCUCAGUGUAGAGAAGAUAACAAUACACUACCACAGUGUUAGUAACAAUAUCUUGUUACUAACAUUUAGUAACAGUAUCUCAGAGUCUCUCCACAGCUUGAGGGGAAAACAUUGUUGCCAUUCCUACCCUGAGGAAAAUCUACAGUAACAGAAUGUUUCCGGAAGUAGAAGCAUCCUACCAGUCGGGAACCUCCACGUGGACCCGACCUCUCAGCUUUCCCUGACUCCCCACCAGGGCAGCUGCUGUGUAGGAUCCGCUGUAACGUACCAAUGGCACAGGCGUUGCAGUGCGUUGGGGCUGGACUCAUGGAGAAUGUCCUGGAGCUUCCCAAGAAGACCCCUCCAACAUUACUAGGCAAAAAGGUGGAUCAGGAAUACCCUCCUAAGCCCCGGAAACAGUUCCUCUUGAAAUAAUUGAAUAGAUACACAUCUUUCAGCUUUGAUUUUUUUUUUAACCAGCCUGAAAAGACCAGCUUUCAGAUUCCCAAAGAAAUUGCAAACACAUCUUUAAAAAAAAAUUAUGGAGAUCAAACUCAAAGACCCUCUACUUUGGCUAUUGGCACACAUUUCAUUCCUGGAGAUGGUUAGAAUAUGGUGUUUCUAAAAUAGAAGGACUUAUCUUUCCUCCUCUACUUUGGAACUAAGAUGAGCCUCCCAGUCUCAGGAAUCACCUUUAACAUGUGGACUUUCAGGGAACACUCCAGAUUUGAACAACUAAAUACUGAAAUUGAAUUAGAGGACCUAGUCUAAGAAUAUUAUUUAGCUUUUAUGUGAAUUUGGGCAUGUCACUUAUUUCUCACUUGCCAUUUACUCAUAUUAAAAUACAUAUAAUGAUUCUGCAUUCGUUUCUGCAUUAUAUAAUUGUUUUGUUAAUUCAAGUAUGAAAAAAGUUUUAUAACUUGAAAACUAAAACUCUUAUCAAGAGGCUUCCAAAUAUUAAAUAUAUUUUUGUAGAUGUCUUUAUGACACUUGCAUGGUCUAGGUUGUUAAGAAUAAAAAUAAAUAUACAUUAUAUAUGAUAUAGAUGAAUAUAUAUAUAUGUAUAUAUAUACAUAUAUAUAUUCUUACUGAAAAUGUUCAGUUUACUGAUUGUUAGUGUUUAAUGUAUUUAGAGCAUACAAUAUAUUAGGUAGAUAGAUAUCUGAAUUUUAUGAUUGUUUGAGAAUCACAUUUGUCGCUUUUCUGUUCGGGGGCAAAAAUUUCUUACAUUUACAAUCUAAAUGCACAGAGCUUCAUUUUGGCCCAUACUUUCAGAGAUCUCAGUCCCCCUGGGGGAAAAGCAUCACAGAGGAAAGCUGCUACACUCAUGGCAGCUGGAAAGCAGAGCAGAUUACAAAGAGCCAAAGAAGAAACUUUCAGUGACUAAUAUAGUCCGCAAGAUUAUGCUCUCUUGACCCAUUUCCUUAAACUAUACCCCAUGUCCUAAAAGCCCAUUCAAAUACAAACUCAGUUUUAAUGAAGUUACUGCCCUCACAAUCUGAUACCUCUCUAGGAGUCUCUCAGUCCAGUCAAGACUACAGUGAAGCUCAACUGAUUGAAGACUAUCACUUUAUCAAUUUGACACUUAAUUACCCAUCUUUAAACUAUGAUUAAUUUCUCAAUAACCUUAUAUCUUUCAAAUACAUUUGAUCUUCAAAUACACCAUGACCUCAUUCUUCUGCUGGUUCUGCUCCUUGCUUAUAACUUUUUGGACCAUGUUCCAUUUUCCUGGCAUCUCCAAGUUUCUGUGGUAUCCACUGCAGCUUCACUCCACUCCCAGGGACUCAGCAGCCUCUCAGGAUCUCGUAGCAGGCAGGGAUGCUGGUCUUAUAGUAUUUUUGCUCCACUAGACCAAUUAAUGCAUCAUCCUUGAACUCCGCCUUACAGAAUUUUAGCGUGUGGAUAAACUGUAGAAAAAUGAUUUGUAAGAAUAUAGCAUUUUGGUCUCUUGUCCAAUUGUCAAAAGAAUUCUCUUUUUCCAUCAGAAGUCUAAAGCUUCUUGAGUACAAUUUUUAUUCUAAAUUCUGUUUAACAUUCAGAGCUUCUGAGCUACUGUGAUAAUCAUCUAUCAGUCUCUGUUUAUAGCUUUCUAGGAGUCUGAAGCCCACAUCACCAAAUCACACAUUCCUCCUGAGAAAUAGUUACAAAGGCUUCUGAGCCCCCAUGGUCAUGUGUAGCUACAGUAAUGACCCCACUUCUCUAUUGGAAAUUUUCUGAACUGUUCACUUUUCUGUUGCUGGACAAAACUUCCAAACCUCAUAAUUUAAAAGAAAAGCUUAUUUUGGUUCAUAUUUUCAGAGUUUUCAAAUCAUGAUUGUUUAAUUUUAAGGCUCAAAUAUCAUGGCAGUAGAGCAUUCACAGGAAGACAGCUCAAAAUACCCCAGAAGGGUGGGAGAACAGGGCAAAACCAAAGAGAGUUGAUGGACAGAUGCAGUCCCCGAGGUCCUGUCUCUGGGGCCUGCUUCCUCCAGCCGGACCCACACCCUAAAGCCCACUUAGUUGUAAACUCAAUGAUAAACUCACCCAUUGAUGAGGUUAGUCUCCUCACAAUCCAAUCACUUCUUUCAAAGUCUCUUCAUCUUUUCAAGUUGGUAAUGCAGAUGAACAGACACAAUUUUAAAAGAAUAAAUACAUAUAUAUAAUUUAAUAUAAUAUUGUGUAUAUAUCACUCAGUAAAAUCUUUGAAAAAUUAACAGUUAAAUAUUAGUCCCAAUAGGAUAGUACUUGUUAGUGGUUCUGGCAUUAUGUUAAGAUUAAAAUUCAGUAAUUUUCUUUAUAUCACAGAAACAACUGACUUUUCAUUGUUUAUCUUUUUGUUUGUUUGUUUUUGUACCAGGGAUUGAACUCACCACCUUGCACUUGCCAAGCAGGUGCUUGUGCUGCUGAGCUAAAUCCCAGCUCAUUGUUUAUCUUUUAAUCAACAACAUGAGUGCUAAUUAAACUAGUAUUAUUGAAUGUGGAAGUAUGGAGUUUAAUUUAAAAAUGUCAGCAUGAUUUCUUCUUGUGUAUGUGUGUAUAUGUGUGUACCAGGCAGAGUAUCAAACUUAAAACCUCGUACUUGCCAAUCCCCAGUCCCAACAUGAUUUCAUUUUAUUAGUUUUCUUUUUUACUAGAAAGCAAAAGUACUAUGUUAAGUGACAUAUACAGCACUUUUGAAUUUAUAAUCACCUCUGCUCCGUAGCAUCAUAAUUAUGUGGUAGGUAUCUUGUAAUUUUAACAUUUGCUAGAAAAAAAUAAUGGUCUUAUACGCGCUCUCAUUGUGUUUACCUGCAGCAUCAAUUUAGAUGCCUCUUUGUGCUGCUAAAUAAAAAUUUAAGUGUGUAAUUUUAAAAUAUUUGCUUUAUUGUCAACCACUUUUUUUCUUUUAGUAUGUUUGCUUUUGUAGUCAGUGUACUGUAUUUCCUGAUAUGUAGUGUACUUCUAAUCGUCUAAGUUAUGUGUUAGACAGAAUAUCCCUCUCUUCGUUAUUCCCGUCCUUGGACCUGAGCUCUGUCUGGUCAAAUGUGGCCAGAUGUUACUGCAGUGAUGACACAGGAAGACAUUUUGUGGCAUGAUGACAUUUCCAAUAGGUCUCUGCGACCCAGAGGAUUAGAAUUUAUUGGACCUUUUAUUUUUCUUCCACAAUGUUGGUUUUCCUAUUACAUGAAUAAAGCAAACAUGCCGAAAAAGGAAAGAAAAAUAAAUAUCUUUAAUCAUUGAAAAUGACAAUUUUAAGGAAAUAUUUUUGGAUAAAAAGAACUAAGGCAUUAACAGAUAAUGGAGCAGGCUAUUAAUCUUGAGCUGUGUCUUUUGUAGUGCUAAAACAUCAAUUUCUUUUCAACGAUUAUUAGUUCAUUUUUCUACAUCCUUUAAAAGCUGAACUAUAGAUAAACUUCACAGAAAUUUUUGAAAAAAAAAUAUAUCAUGGCUUUAAAAAUGAAUCUGAAAUCUCAGAUCAGCAGUAAAGUAAAAGGAAUUACAUCUGAAGCAAGACCCAGAUGGAGGUCACUAGCAAUUUUCUUAGUUUUUUUUUAAUUAAACUACAAAUACUAUAAAUAAUCAUUCAUGGAACUUGAAGGAAAUAUGGCUUACCUAAUAUGGUGACCCUGAAGUGACAUUCUGGAUCUAAGUCGCAAUUUAUUGCUAUAAAUAGGAACUAAACAACAUGCUUGCUUUGAUGGGAGAAAAGUGAUACUUAGUGUGUCAAAUAGAGCUGACUAAAAGUAAUUUAACCAUAAGUGAAAGCUAUUUACAUACAGAAUCAAGGUAUUUAGCUAAUAAACUGCAUGUAACUAUUUUUAGUAAGCAUUAGUUUGUGGGAAUAUAGCUCAGUGGAACAACGCCUGCCUGGCAAGCAUGAGGUCCUGAGUUUAAUUCCUGGUACAAAAUAAUAAUAAUAAUAAUAAUAAUAAUAAUAAUAAUAAAAGUUUUAGAAUUUAUUUUUUAAUUUUAAUGAGAUUAGCACUUAGAGCAAAAUUUACAAUAUGCAAAUGGCUGCUGAAACACAGUCGCAUUAUCUUUCUUUGUAGCAGUCAUGUAGUUUUUUCCUGUUGGGGCUUUGUUCCCACCUCUUGUCCAUCCUUUCAGAAGACUCUGUCCCAAGUGUCAGAAUAGGACUAUGCGACCACAGUAGCUUCACACUAUGCAAGCCAGGGACAUCAUCUUCAUAGGCCAGUGACAUGGUACAGCACAGGAAAUGGUAUUAACAGAAACACACGUAAAAGACUGUAUGGAAAAUGUACUCUGUUAAAGGCCUUUUUCAUUCCACUAAUUAAGGGCUAAGAUUGGGUUCAGUAGUGAGAAUUAUAUGCAGUUAAUUUGGGACCUCUUGGAGGAUUCUGUAGUUCAUUACUAUCUUAUCAGGCCACGAAAUUCUUUUGCUAUAUGAAGAAACAGUAUGUUAAUGGUUUCAUAACAAAUCCUUUAGAAUAUAACAUCAUUUGGCAACUUUUGAUGUUCCAAAUUCAUGAACAUACCAUCUGACCACUAAUUUUUGCACUUAUUUUUAAUAUAUGUAUAUAUAUGCAUGCAUAUAUUACAUUUGAUAUUUUCAUAUAUGUAUAGAUUUUCAAAGGCCAAUGUGUUCAAUAAUCAUCAUGCAUAUUUAUUAUUUGGUGGUGAGAAGAUUUAAGUUAAUUCUUAGUGAUUGUGAAGUAUACAAUAUUUUUCACUAUAGUCACUUACAUGUUAAUGUCUAGAUCUCUUGGACUUACUUCCUUUGUGUAGUGAAAAUUGGUAUCUUUUGACUGACAACUUCUCAUUCUCCCUUGACCCAUAUGGAAAUUAUCAUUAUAUUAUGGCCAACAUUUUUAUUAAAUGUAGAUGUUUGAUAUUUAAAGCAACUUCCUUUUUAUUGAUAUUAUUUGACUACUCACAAUGCCACACAAAACAUUGCUAUGAAAUGUGACUGAAGAUAUCAUGACAACUUCAUUUUACUAUCAUUCUUUACUUCACGAGUUACAUUUCCUCUUGUUACUUUAUUGUUUCCCUGGACAUUACCAUUGACUUGCUUAUGCCUCUGGCUCCUCAUACUAUUUUCUACUUUAGAAAAAUGAUAAAGUAACUUUUGAAGAGAGGAAUCUUGUGAUACUAAAACUUUCUCUUCAGGUGCUUUAAAUGGACCUCGGCAUUUACAACACAAGUUACUAUGUGUUGUGUUGUAUAAAGUUUCUUUAAUUCACCACAAUUACUUCUUGAACCUACUCAAUUUCCACAGUGUUUGGUUUUUGAGAAGGAAUGCUUUAAAUAGAAAACAAUGUGCCCAGAAACACACUAUCAUGAAACUACAAGCAUUUAUAAUUGGGAUAACUAUCCAAAAAUAAAGUUGGAAUCAGAAACUAGACACUGAUUUAUAUCCGUGAAAGACAAUCAAGCAUUUAAAACUCUAAUACACUUUCCAUUUAGCUGAAGCUCUUUCCUGCUAAGCUUACUUCAAAAUCAAGAUUGAGAAAGUUGAUGUCUGUUAAGCAUUCUUCUAAGGGUGAAAAAUAAUACUUUCACAGGAUUUAAGUCUAAAAGCUUUGUUACCCCUAUGUUUUUUUGAAAAAUUGAUUAAUAAAAUUUAAAAACAUGAAGGUUUCAUCUACUGGUAAAGAUUUUCUCUGUGUGGCCUUUUUAGUUACUACUCAUGGAUAAUCAGAUUUUAGCUGUUCACUUAGAUCAUUGUGUGCUUGACUGUUAUGGAAUUUCAGACACUGAAGCAUAAAUCAUUUUCAGAUAUCAUUGACUCAGCCUCCAGUGUCUUUCCUUUAACUAAAAAAAAAUUAACAUCAAGAUUCUUUUAUUGCAUAGGUUGUUGAUGUUUCUUUUAUCAUGAUAUUGAUUAUAAAAUAUGUAAAAAUAAAUUAGUUUGAGUGUUAACUGUAUCUUUUACUGUUUCACUCUCUCAGGAAAGAAAGAAACAUGUGUUUGAAACUAUAGUCGAGCUGUUUUUAACUUGUUAAAACUUGGUAGUCCCCACUUGGUUAAUUAUGACUUGUAGUCAAUUACUUAAAGAAAUAUUGACAUAGGACCAGAGAGUAAUGAAAGUGCAGCUUUUUCACAUCAAGUGUUGUUUUUCCUGAAGAUUUUCUGUAGAAAAUAAUUGGCACCCCUUUUGUUGCCAGCCUCCAGUGAGGACAGCUGCUUGGUUAGCAGCACUCAGUAUCCACGUGUAAUCAUAAUUUGACAAAAAAGAGUUCAGGACAAGAAGUGUUACAAGUGGAUUCUCUUAAAAACGCAAUACAGUACAGAGACGGGGGAUAGCCAGAUACUUUCAGCAGCAGUGUUUAGUAAACAAUUUCUCUGAGCAAUAAGAUUAAAGAUCAAGAACCCACCACACUUGCCUGAUUCCUGGAGAUCUGUGCUUUAUGUUACUUUGGAGCUUUACCCAAGUGAGUUAGAAGGAUCAUCUCCACAUCUUUGCUGGUAUUCUGCCAACUGUUUCACAAGAAAAGGGUGAAACAGAAGGGGGAUGGCACUGAGAGGAAAGGUGAGGUCAGAGGGACAAGCUGCAGGUGCAGUAUGGAAAUUACUCCAGGGUUCGCAUCUUUUGGUUUUAUGAUUGUCUGUCAGUCAGUCAGGAAAUAUUAAAAAGUUCUUGGCAUUUUAACGGAUAACAUUUUCUCUUAUUUAUCUAAUGUUAGUGUAUUUCAUUAAAGCACCUUUUUAUUGCUUUUGUCUUCUUUGCACAUAUGAGGGGUAAUAAUAGUUUCUUGUCAUUGUCAUGUUUAAAAAUAAAUACUUUGUGAAAAAAAUGAUAAAAAUAAAACUAUUUUUGGAUACAAAAUCCAUUAAAUAGUAUAUUAGUAAUGUUAUUUGUACCUAAGAUAUCCCAAGAUAACUACUCUUUCAAAUCUCAUGUCUGUAAUGCAUAUUAUGUUUUAUGAUUUUAAAUGUAUUUAUAAGCAUAAAGAUUGUAUUUUUUGCUUGUACAUUGUACAUAAGUGGAAAUCUGGUGUUUAUUUCACUUUUUUCUUGAAAUUUUCUUACAUCAUUGCAUUUAAAAGUAAUUUUCAUAUUACCAUAAAUGAUUUUAAUUUACUUAUUUCCUAAAUUAUAUUCAGAAUUAUACACUAAUAUAUUAUUUUUUAUUUAAAGAAAAAAAGCAAAACCAGUGCAAGAUAGAUAACCAUACUACUAAUUUUUUGUUAGCUCAUCAAACAAUAUUUGGUGCUGUCAUUGUUUGAUUGAUCAUUUUUUAUGCUUUGAUUUUAUAACUUGAACAACUCCUUGUAAGAUAACAAUAUAUUCUUUUACGCAGUUUAGUUUUCCUAGGGUAUACAUACUAUACAUACAUUCUAUUUUAUAGAAUAGAUUCAAGUUUCAUAUCAGUCAAUACUGAAUUAUUUCCAGAGUAUUUUUCUUCCUAUAUCCCUCAUUACUAUUGUCUGAAAUAUUGCACACAUUCAGUUUAAAGUUUUGUAUCUACAAACUUUCGUAUUUUUCUUUGGGAGGACAGAUAUGAAAUGUCUUUUCAUAUUAGAGCAUAAACUUGUUAUUAGGAUUCAAGCAUUAAAAUUAUUUUGGCUAUUAUUUCCUCUCUCAGUUACUAUUUCUUCUGCUUUGUCUUUUUGAAAGACAAAAUAUGAAUUUUAAUUUACUUGUAGACAUUAUUUUCAAAAGUAACUUUUGUGUCUUUCUGUAAUGUUUAUAUAUACCUACAUCUCUCUUUCUCUCUCUGUCUCUGUCUCUCUCUCUGUCUCUCUCUGUCUGUCUCUCUCUCUGUCUGUCUCUCUGUCUCUGUCUCUCUCUCUCUUUUUCCAUUAUGUACCAUAACACGUUUCUAAAACUCAGCUGCUUUUCAGACACCAUUCUUGAGGUUGUAAAUGAUUUGAUUUUUAUUUCACUGAAACUUAAAAAUCCUGUUGCAAAAGUAGAGUGAACUUCUGAUGAAUUCUUUUGUAUUUUAAAUUCUACUGUGGAUGUUUCAGUGGAGAAUAAAUUCUAUUUCCCAUUCGGAAUCAAGUGGAGGGAAAAAGAGUAAGAAGAAAUCAAUGAGCACAUGCUCACUCUAUUAAUUGUGAGAAAGAUACCAUAUCAAACUAAAAAUUUUCAUAGGAGAGGUGGUGAGUAAUAGGGCAUUGUAGUUAGAAGGCAGAGUCCUGGAAACGAGAGUUAAGACCCUGUGGGUGAAAAAAAGUAGCUCGAUACGUUCACUAGCUCUAGUGAAAUAAGUAGCACAAAAGCUGCCCCACAGGGAAAGUUUUAACAGCUUUUCUUUUGUGUGUUUCACAUCAGAUUGACAAGAAAGUUUGUUUUAAAUGUGUGAAGCAUCAUCUAGUAAAUGUAAAUAAAUAUGUGAUUUUCAUUUUGCAAACAGGUCAAUCAAAUCCUAAUAUAUUAUAUGGAUAUUUUUCUAUAUCUAGAUGAAUUCUAUCAUUUAAAACAUUACUAUUGAUAAUGAAACAUGGUAACAUUCAUGUUUAAAGUAACACUUUGAUAUUUAGACCUACAGUUUGAUUUGAAGUGAAUAAUGUAUAAGCCACAGAUAUUUUAAAUGAUGUUAAUUUGAUUAUAAUCAAAAUCUUUGUUUAUCUUUUUUGGGACAGGGCCUUGCUAUGCAGUUCAGGCUGGCCUUGAAAUCACCCUGUAGCCCAGGCUGGCCCCAAACACAUAGGAAUCCUCCUGCCUCAGCCUGCUACAUGCUAGGGUUACAGGCAAGCACCACCACGUCCAGGUCAAAACAUUUUUUAAACACAAGAAAAUAUAUGCAACAGAAUAAUUUUAUUACUCUUAAAUAUUCAAACUCAUUCUUAUUUUUCUACAUCAAGGUCCUAUCAACAGUCUUUACUUUGGUUGUUUCCUAAGUAUUGGAAAUGUAUUCAUUAAACCUAAAAGCAAUUUUGAAUGAUUGACAGGUAUAUCUUCUCAUGUAAAAAUUUAAAAUUGCAAUUCAACUACCCUGACAUUUCUUAAGUGCAGCAUCAUUAAGCUAAAAUUAUCUAGAUCAACAUUAAAAAAUAAGUAAUUAAAACAUGUUUUAAACUAGAAAUAUUAUGCAACUUAAUGAAAGAUAUUUGCACUAAAGGCACUGUAAAUAACUUUAAAAUCUGUGUGAAAUUAAGAGCACUCCAGGAUUGAAUUUGUGUAUGUUUACCUUACUUAAAUUUGAUUUUGAAUAUAUUUUAAAAUUUUUUUCUCAACAUUUUAUCUUUAUCAGCAUGAUUUUGUAGCACAUAAUGAUCACAUUCUUUGAAGGGAGUUGGUACAAAUAUAAUUAACACAUAUUUUGAAAUAGUUAUGUGAAAUAUUUUAAAAUAUUGGUUUCUAACAUUUUAUAUUAUAUUUCUUAUUAUAUUUAAUUAAUUUAAUUUAAUCUUAUUUAAUUUAAUUCUUAUUAUAUUUUAUAUGUCUUAUCAAAUAAUUUUCAGUAUGAACUGUACAUUCAUGAUCAUGUUUAUUAACUAAAAUAUAUUGUACCAAAUCAUCAAAAUUAUACAAAGCCAACUGAAUAAAAUGUAUUUUAAAAUGAAUAAUUUUAAUACAUUUUCAAAACAAAAAGAUCUAGUUUACUGAUGAAUCAAAAGUGGCAAAUAUGGCAAUGAUGAUAUAAAAGCAUCAAUCUAUAUAGGAAAUACUGGUUUUUUUGUUUGUUUUUUUACUUCUAGGAGUUGAACUCAUGACCUUGCACUUGCCAAGCAGACUGUGUGCUGCUGAGCUAUAUCCCCAGCCUGGGGAUAUUUGCUAAAUCAGUGUAAAACUCAACUACAAAGAACAUAGUGUACACUGUAAAGGCUUUGACCGCAGAGCAUUAGUCAUGCGUGUGGAAAGAAUCCUUCAAGGGCUUUUGUUCACCUGUACCCACUCAUUUUGUCACUUCCCAUCCCAUUUCUCAUUUCACAUGCUGCUUCUUCACUUGAGUCUAGUCUUUGUGAGAACUGCUUAAGUCAGUCAGAACCUUAUGAUGCUCAAGGAAACAGCUGUAUUUAACGUAAGAAUUACCUAUUGAGUGACAGUAAGGACAUCACAGGAAGAAAUUCUAUUACGUUUGUAGAUAUGAUUUUAGUUUCAGAAAAAUUUGAAUCUGUAGAUAAAGAAUGAGCUGCACUUCACAGGAACAAUACUAAGUAGGACACAUUCCAGCAGUCUUUAUAAAAUCUCUUAAUGUAGAUGACUAUUUAGGGAGGUGGAGCAAUGACAAGGCAUUGGGAAAUAUUCUUUGAGUUCGUAAUUUUGUCACAUUUAUUAUUAUUAUAAUUUUAUAUGUAUUCCUACAUAGUGAUUAAAGGGAAAAGACCUAACAAGAAGACAAGAUCUGUGUCCCUUUGUAGGGAAGGUAAGAUUUAUAGGACAAUGUUGGACAGCUUUGCAUCAGAUGUUUUCAUAUUGUUUAUGGGAAAAUGCUGCUCAUGGCAACUAGAAAGCCACUAGUGCCAACCGAUAUACAUCUUUUAAUUUUUCAUCUACUUGUUUAGAGGAUUGUUCUUGUUGAAAUUCACAAUCUGACUUCAGUAGAGCAAAUUAUUUGCUGUCUUCAAAUGUUUAAAUCCACUACUCUUAAAGGAAGCAAGUAAUAAUCCCAUGUGGAUGCAGGUGAAUCUAGUAGUGUUCAUGAUUGGUUCAUUGUCUAGCACUGGGAUUGGUGGUGUAAGAGCUGCCAGGGGUGGAGCCAGCACACUCUAACGGUAGGAAGAAGGUGUGUUUUCCUUCUUUUUCUGUUUGUUAUUACUGUUUGUGGUGGUCAUGAACUGCGAGCCUACCAUGCCACUCUGCCUGGGAGCUAGCUCAGUAUGCAUUGAAACCCCCAAAACUGUAAGAAAUAAACCUUCUCUUCUCAAUUUUGGGUGUAAAGUAUUUUGUCUCAACAAUGAGGGAAAGGUAACUAAGACAGAAUCUUAAAUGUCCCCAAGUGCUCUAUUGUUACAGAUUGUGGAACUGUUGAGAGAUGGCACAACUUUUAUGUGGUAUGUUGUUUUAACUUUUUCUUGGAAAAUACCCAGAAGGAGAAUAGCUGGUUAGAAAUGAACCUCCUUUUGAGGAAUCUCCACAGUGAUUGGAGCAGUCUACACUCCCACCAACUGGGCAUAAGGGUUCCUUUAUCCCAUAGCAAUGCCAACAUUUGUUAUUGAUUGAUUUCUUCAUGAAAACCAUUCUUUUUGGAGUGAGAUGAAAUAUCAGUGCUUUUUAAAUUUGCAUUUCUCAAAUGACCAGUGAUGUUGAAUAUUUUUUCAUGUAUUUACUUGCCAUUUGUACUUCUUUAUCUGAGAUGUGUAUAUUCUUCUAAAAUGCCUUUAUUUGGAUUACAUCUUUGAAUUUAGAUAUCAUAUUUUUUUUCAAUUCUUUACAUGUUCUAGAUAGAAGUUUUUUGUCUGAGGGAAACUUAGAUAAUUUUUUUCCAUUCUGUGUGUUUUCUUUUCACUGCAUUGAUUUUUUUGAUGUGUAAAACUCUUUAAUAAAUUGAGAUCCCAGUUGUUGAUUCUUUGAAGUAUUUCGUGUGCAGUUUACAUUUUGUUCAUCAAAUCACUGCUUACCCGUCUUCAAGAUUUCUAUGUACAUUGUCUUCCAUUAGAUUUAGUUUUUCUGUUUAAUAUUUAGAUCUUUGAUAUAUUUUGAUUUUAAUUCAUUUCAUGGUGAUAGCAUGUGUCUAGUUUUAGUGUUUGGCAUGUAGAAAGCCAGUUUUUUCAGCACUAUUUAUUACAAAGCCUUUUGCCCAGUGACCAUGUUUGACUCCUUUGCCAAAAAUGAAGUGGCUGAAUGUCUUUACAGUUCUGUACUCAUCUUCUACUUUAGUAUAUUGUUCCUUAUGUCUUUUUCCUUGCCAGUACCAUACUGAUUUUAUUAGAGUCCCUUUGUAGUAGAAUUUCAAAUCUAGGAUCGUGAUGCCUCCUGCAUUGCCUUUGUUUCUCAGGAUUGGCUUUGCUAUCCUAGAUCUUUUCUGUUUCUAAAUGAUUUUUAGAAAUGUUUUCUCUAUAUCUGUGAGGUAUGCUAAUGGUAUUUUGAUCAGAAUUGCAUUGCAAUUUGUGUAACAGUUUUGGGAGUAUGACCAUAUUUUCACAAUAUUGGGUCUUUCUAUCCAUGAGCAAAGCAUACUGUAAUUUGUAAUUUGCAGUAUACAGAUUGUUUAUGUACUUUCUUAGAUUUAUUCCAAGGUAUUUCAUUUUUUUGGAUGCUAUUGUGAAAGUGUUAUUUCUACAAUACUUCUCUCAGUCAAUUUGGUUUUUGUGUACAGAAAUGCUGUUACUUUUUGGUACUAACUUUGUUUCCAGCUAUGCUACUGAAUUUACUUAUUUAGUCUACUCAUUUGGUGGAGUUUUUGGGGUCUGCUAUGUAGAGUAUCAUGCCAUUUACAAAUAAUGAUAAUUUAACUUAUUCUUUCCUAUCUUUGUUUUAUUUCUCUCUCUUGUCUACUGCUCUGGUUACUGUUACCAAAACUGUAUUGAAGGAGUGGUGAUAUUGGAUGACCUUCUCUUGUUCCUGACUUUAUAGUGAAAGCUUCCAGUUUUUGUCUAUUUUGUAUGAUAUUGGCUAUUGGUUUGUCAUAGAUGCUUUUUCUCAUAUCGAGGUAGAGACAGUUUAUACUGGUUUUCUGUGGAGUUUUUAUCAUGAAUGACUAUUGGACUUUAUCAAAAGCAUUUUCUACAUCUAUUGCUAUGACCAUAUGAUUUUUGUCUUUGGCUCUUUUGAUGUGGUGCAUUAUGUUUAUUGGUUUGCAUAUACUGACCCAUUCCUGGGAUGAAUCCUACUUGGUCAUGAUGUAUAAUCUUCUAAAUGAUUUGCUGCAUUCUGUCUGCUAUUUUAUUGAGAAUUUUUGCAUCUAUGUUCGUUAGGGAGAUUGGCCUGUGGUUCUCCUGUUUGGUUGAGUUUUUCUCUGGUUUCAGUAUCAGAAUGGUGCUUGCCUCCAGGAAUGGGGUAGGGAGUGUUGUUACCCUUUCAGUUUCAUUACAGAGUUUGAAGAGUAUUAACAUUAAAUCUUCUCUAAAUUUCUUCUAGAAUUCAGCCAUAAAUCUACAAGGAUUUUUAUUUGUUAGUAAGUUUUUAAUUACAUAUUUGAUUUCAGUAGUUGAUAGUAGGUUAUUCAAAUUUUUUGUAUCUUCUCGAUUCAGCUUUGCUAACUGGUGAGUUUCUAGGAAUCUAUCCAUUUCUUCUGUGUUUUCCAGCAUGAGUAAAGGCCUUUAAAGUGAUUAAUGAAGAUCUUCUGAUUUUCCACAUGAUCUGUAGUGAUUUCAUCCUUUUAAUUUCUCAUUGCAUACACUUGAGUUUUUUCUUAUCUUUUCUUGAUAACGUUGGCUAGGGUUUUACCAAUUUUGUUGAUUGUUUCAAAGAACCAACUCAAUUAAUUCUUUGUACUAUUUUCUUAGUCUCAAUUACAUUAAGCUCUACUCUGAUCUUUACAAUUUCUUCCCUUCUAUGAGCUUUGGUCUUGACUUGCAGAUUGCUCAUUUGUGCUGUUGUGUUUUCCUGAAAUGAGAAUUCACUGCCAUAUUUCCUUCUUAGGAUUGCUUUCAUCACAUCCCACAGGUUUAAGUACGUUAUAUCUGCAUUUUCAUUUAACUGUAGAUAUUGUUCAAUUUGUUCUUUAAUUUUAUCUGUGACACAUUGGUUGUUCAAGAGGGGGUUAUUUAAUUUUCGUGUGUCUAUGUAGUUUUUGUAGCUUCUUUGCCAUUAGUUUCCAAUUUCAUUGCAUUAUGUUCAGAUAAUAUGCAUGGGAUAAUGUUAGUUCCUUUGCACUUGCUUAGGCAUCUUCCAUGGGUAGUACGUGUUCUAUUUUGGAGAACGUCCCACGUGCAGCUGAAGAGAAUGUGUAUUCUGAUGUUGUUGGGUGGAACCCUCUGUAAACAUCUAUUAAAUCCAUUUGUUAACAGGUUUGAUUCAUUUCUGCUAUUUCUUUGCUGACAUUCUGUCUUUUGAUCUAUCCCUUUGUGAUAAUGGGUUAUUAUGCCCCUGUUAUCCUUGUGUUACUGCAUAUUUGAUGUUUCCUGUCUAUUGAUACUUUUCUUGUAUACUUGGGCACUCCCAUGUUGGAUGCAUACAUAUUUAAGACUGUUACCCCUUCCUCUUGAAAUUUUCCCCUAGCAAGUAUGCAGUCACUUUCUCUAUCUCAGUCGGUCAUUUUUGGUUUUAAGUUCAGUUUAUCUGUGAAGAGAGUAUCUACCAUUUCUUUUCUGAGUUCCUGUUGCAUAGAGUACUGCUUUCAAUAUUUUGACUUUCAGAGCAUGAAUUUCUUUUUGAGUUAAAUGUGUUUCUUGUAUACAUAUCUUUGGAUCUUGUUUCAUAACCCAUUCUGACAAUUUUUUUUUUUGGAUUAGUGAAUUGAGGCCAUUUACAUUGAUGAUUAUAACUGAUAAAGUAUUGGCCUAGUUUUUUUGUGUUUUUUUUUUUUUACUUGUUUUUCCCUUUUCUUUGUUUGUCUUGUCCAGUGGCUUCUUUCUAUUUUUGUGGUCAUUUUUAUCUCUAUCUAGUAUGUCUUCCAGUAACCUUUCUAGGAUUGUUUUGGCGGACAUGAAUUUCUUCAUUUGUUCUUUGUCAUGGAAAUAUCUUAUGUCUCUUAUUUUUGAAAGACACUUUUGUAGUUUAUAUCAAUCUAGGCAGCAAGCUGUUUUAAUUUGAUUUUUAAGGACUCAAAAACCUUUACUGAGCUCUCCUUGACUUGAAGGUUUGUAUUCAGAAGUCAGUGUGAUUCAGAAAUAAACUUUCCUUUAUAUGUGACCCGUAUCUUUGGUCUAACAAUUUUUACCAUUCUGGGAUUUUUGGGGGGCUGAAUUUCUGGAAUCUUGAUGAUUAUAUAUUUGGGUGUAUAUUUAUUUUGGUUAUACCUUUUUGGGAUUCUAUAUGCCUCAGUUACCUGUAUUUCGGAUUCUGUCACCAUGCUUUGGCAAUUUUCUGCUCUUAUUCAAAUAGUUUCUUUUUAUAUCACUUGUGUUGACUUCUGCUUUUUAAUUGAUAUCUAAUCAGUUUUACCUUACUUUUCUUUGUAUCAUCUUGGAGGUGUUGAACUGUUAUUUCAUGGUUCUCUGAUAUUUUUAAGAGAUUUUUUUCAUUUUUUAUCAGUAGCUACAAUUGUGUCUUCAGGAUCUGAAAGUCUAUCUUCAUUUUUGUUCAAGCUAUUUUGCCAGAUUUCAAUAGAAUUUUAAUUUCCUGGAUAUCUCUUUGUAUCUGCUUCAUGCAUUUUAUGUCUUAUAUUAUUCCUUCAAAAUGUCUAUCAUUUUCCUAUGUGCAUCUGUGUUCCUUUAUUCAUCUAUGUCUUCUCUGAGGUAAAAAAUUCCUUCAUUAAGGUUGUCAUUUGUUACAUUAGCUUAGAGAUUAUUUCUGAUCUGAUUUUCUCUAUAGCCUCAUGGAUUUGUUUCUUUACUUUACUUGGUGUUUUUACAAAAAUUUAAAUUAUGUUUCUUCAAUGUCUUCUAUGUCAGUAUCUCCUGUACUUGUUCCAGAUGGGCUGGAGGUCUGAGACUGCAUUUUGUUUUUUAUAUUGUCAUUUUAGCUUCUUGGUUUAUAUUUCAAUCAUUUCAAUCCCACUAGUUCUGUCAAUCCUUUGUGUGUGUUUCAGUCAGUGUCAUACUUUGGCUAAUAUUCACCUACUUGCUGAGCCCCACACUGUAGGAGACAGGCCAGUCACCUAAAUUCCUCCUGCAUGGUCAGUUGGGUUGGUCCUGGAUUCUUCCUGAGCUAACCAGCCUAGGCAUAUUGAUAUGAUACAAACUUUAGCCAAUAUUGUUGCUGCAGGUUCAUACAUUUCCAGGCCACUGGACUUGCCUGUCCAUGGAGUACACUACAGCCGGGGUCCUACUGUGUUACAGGGGAUCUUGCAGACCCAACCAGCUUCCCUUGGGUGGUGGGAAGGUUCACCUGCACUCUUCCAGCCCUCCAAAAUCCUCCAGGUGGGGAAAGAUGCUGCUGAGGCCUCUGCCAGCUGAUCAAGUGUUCAGUAUAAACCUCAAAUCUCUAUCUUCUUUAUAUUUUCAGCCUAAAAUAAUAAGAAAAUUUCAACCAAAAAAGCAAAUUUUAAAAGUGAACAAAACAUAGAAAAAUGUUCUAAGACAAGUGUUUUAAGUAGAAACAAAUUAUGUGCCUAUAAUGGACACUAUAAAAUAAGAAUUUUUGUGAGAAUGGCAAUUCCCAUUUUUCUUCAUGAUCUAUCAUGGUAGCCAUGAGCAUUAGCCUCUUGUGCUUCAUGAGCAUUUGAAAUGCAACUAAUACAGUUGAGGAAUUGAGCUAUAAAUUUAUUUAAAUUUAAUUUAUUUCAAUUCAAAAUUCUUUACUAAUCACCACUUUACAGUGGGCCCCCAUGUACAUGGUAUCUACUUCAUUACAUUAUAUCUGGUGAUGAUGUUUUCUAAUUUUCAACAUUUUUAGUGUGAUUGGCAUUAUAUAACAAAGCAUUUUACUGGAUUAUUUGCUGUUUCUUUAUUAGAAUUUCAGAAACACUGUUUAUUUUACUUAUAUAGUAUGCCUGCAUUAUAUUACAUGGUUCAUUUUGCUUAAGGAAAAAUGCAUUAUCUGGUGUGAACAAUGAUUAUCAUAAACUAAGCAAACCAUGCACAUUUUAUAUGCAAAAAGUAUUCUAAUUUAGAGACUUAAAACUAAAUAAUAUUUUUACUAUCUAAAUUUGCAAUGUUUUCUCUUGUAAUUUUUUUUGCAUUAUUUUUCACAGCUUUUAUGGAUGAGGACAAAAGAUGAACACUAUUUAAAUUAUUAGAAUAUGAAUGAUUAUAUUAAUUAUUAUUUCUAUCCAUGUACCAUUUUAAAGAAUGUUAAAUGAUAUUAUGUACAGAAAAUAUGACAUUGUUUUAGCUGAUAAUAGCAUGUUUUCCCCUCAUACUUGUUUUAAAAGAAAUUAUUGGUACUUCAAUCAUUUUGUUUUUGACUCUUACUAGAAAGCCUAAAUCAUGUAUUAUUUCAUUAAUUUGUAAUAUUCAUCUACUUCAUGAAAAUAUAUCUGUUUAAUGAUUUAUUUUAUUUUCUUUAAUUUUUCUAGAAAAUUGCAAUUUCAUAAUAUUCAUUUUAAUGCAUUUGUUAACCAAUGAUAUUUUUUUCAUUCAAAAUUCAUCUCUGACUUUCUAGUUCAUAAUGAUAAAUAGGUCUAUAUACACUUAAACCCAGUUUCUACAGAAUCAAUGGUGAAAUUAAUGGCAAAGUAAAAUAUUUUGACCAAAGAAUGAAUUAGAAUAAGAAAUAAAUUAGGUUCAUUCUAGAAAGAUAAAGAACGCUGACAGAGAGACAUGGACCACUGAGCAGAAAUGAGUACAAUCAAGACACUAUGACAGAUGUUUAUUCCCCUCUAAUGGCACUUUUUUAUGAUAUAAAGAGCCAGUUUACAUAUUCAAUGCUUGGAUGCUGGAAUAUAUAAGUACAAUUGAUUUUUAAUUGUUUUUGAUUUGGCUGAAUUUUCUUCAUACUAUUCUAUUUGAUGUUGUUUAUCUUUCCCUACAUAUGGGGUCAUCAUUUUCUAAGAUAUGUGCUUUAUUUUCUAUUUCAUAUACUUGUCACUUUCUUUUUUUGCUUCACUUGCUACAUUCUUCUGUAAAGAUGGUAGAAUAGAACAGGUGAGGUGAAGUGUAAUUUCUUACUUUUCAUAAUUGAGCAAAGAGUACUUAAUUGACCAACAUAUGGGUUUCUUCAUGUGAGAUUGAUAUCUUCUGAUUACUGAGAUUUUCCAAUAUUAGUAACUAUUAUAUUACAUUCCCAAUAACAAAGAGACUCUACUCAAUAAUUUCUAGUGAUGCUGAUUAUAAUAAAUAUAUAUAUAUGUAUAAUCUUAAAAGCAAACUAAAACUAAAACUGUUUACAAACUUAGAAUUCUAAUGUGAUAGGUAUUACAUUUACACCCCCCCCUUACUUUCUUUAAUCAUCAGAAACUUUGUACUUUUCAUCUGUUCAUAGAUUAGAUGUAGUUGUCACCUGUGGACAUCAAGUGUGGAAGAUCCUUGGAAUUAUGCUUUCCACCAUUUGAUCUCAAUUCUGAGUUAGUAGACAAGUGGUGAAGAUUCACUUCCUAUGACCUCACUCUGCCAAUUUCAACGGUGAUUCUUUCUCAAUAAGUCAUUAUAAUGUGAAUCUGGGAACAGUAUCAGUUUCUGGUGUCCACUCCCUGGAAAGCUUUCAUUUUCAUUGAUUAAGCAGUAAGGCUAUAGUUUUUUCUAAUUUUUUAUUGGUACAUUUAGUAUACAGUGAUAACAUUCAUCAUAGGAAAGCUGAGCCUAUAUGUGUACCUCCUGCUGCUCCUUUUCUUCCUGUCCCCUCCCCUCCCUGCAGUCCCUCUUCUCUUCUUGAUUUACAAGUUACAUUUCCAUUGUUUCCUUCUAUUCUUUCUCUCUUGCCACUCCCAACCCCAGUGCCUUGUCCUCCUUCUCAUGUGACCACUGUUUUCCCUUUUCCCAAAACCUGUUAACAUUUUGAUCCUUAUUUAAACUUUUGGCUUCUCACACCACAAAAACCAUGGAAUAUUUACAGCCCAGUAAGGACACAGUCAGCACUGGGUUGGGUUAGAAAGCAACUGACAUUUUCCAGUAGCUUACUUUUAAUGUCUAACUAUGGAAUCUCAACAUGUUAUGUAUUUAUUAAAGAUGUUAAACGCUGACAAUACUAGAAAAACAUAUUUUAAAAUUUUAAUUUUAAUUAAUAAAUUGAUGCUAUAAUCAUUAAUAUCAAGAAAUUGUUAACAUUUUUAAUUAUCAGUGAAUUAAUACAGUCAAAAAUUUCAAAUUGCUUCUUAAAUACUUGUAAUAUUAUAUAAUUCUCAAUGAAUACAGUCAAAAAUUUCAAAUUGCUUAAAUACUUGUAAUAUUAUAUUUUAUACAGUAACAUUAAACUGCUAGUCAAUGAAACUAUUUUCUUAGAAGUAUCAGAUAAUUGGAAAUCUGCAUAAUGUUUCUUUUAUUUUAAAAUCUGCAUAUCAAUUUUUCUUUAAAAUUUUGUUUGCUGGAGAAUUAAUAAGUAAGAACAUGAAUGAGUAGAAUAGUAUUUAUGACAUAAUAGAUGCAAAAUGACACACAAAAAUAAUUCUCAAACUCAUAAAUGUAUAAUUAAAAAGUAAUCAUAGUACCUAAAGUAACUGUUUUGCUGUUUACUUAUUUACUUUUUAUUUUAAAUCAGUUUUAUUGCUGUAUUUUAUAUAUACAUGAUAUCCACAUUCAUCAUGGAGGAACUUGUACCUGUAAAUGAUGUUUUCUUUUCUUUGUACUGAGAAUCAAACUCACACUUUCCAGGCAGGAGCUGUUAAACAUGAUACAUCUUGACUCCUCUUUAUGUUUGUAUUUUUCUCUCUUCCCUUUCACUCCUUUUCCCCUGCUUAUUUACAAAAGCUUUGUUUCUAUUUUUCCCUCCUUUUCUCUUUUUGUCCUCUUCCUCUCCUCCAUUUCCCCAUCCCCCUUCCUAAUUUUCACUUCAAUUUGAACAUUUUAUUCCUAUUUCACACUUUCUAUUAUACAUUUUGGCCCUUAUUUAUACUUUCAGUUUCUCACACCAGAGGAAAAAAAUUACACAUGUGUGCACAAUUUAUUUCAUUUAAGAGUAUCAUCUCAAGGUGCGUUCACGGAUAGAGUAUCAUCUCAAAGUGCGUUCACGGAUAUAGAAAUGUUUCAAAUAUCAGUCACAUCCAUUGUAUAAAAAACUACAUGUAGUUUAUUCAUUUAUAGGCUGAUAGGAAGCUGGGGUAUUUCCAAGAAUUAGCUAUUAUGAACUGUGCUCCUAUAAACAUGGGUGUGCAUAUAUUGCUGUGGUAUGAUGCUUUUAAUUCUUUUGGUAAGCAACCAACAAAGCCUAGUUUUAGUUUUUUGAAGGAUCUCUCUGCUGGUUUUCAUAAUUGUUGCACCAGUCUAUACUUUCAACAGGAACGGAGAUGGUUUCCUUUUCCACAUAGCCCCACCAGAAUUUGCUAUUUGUUGAUUUCUGAUUAGCAGCCAUUUUUUCUAGAGUAAGAUGGAACAUCAAUGUUAUUGUAAUUUGCAUCUCUUGAAUGACCACAACUGUCAAUUUGUUUUGGUAUAUUUAUUUGCAAUUUCUAAUUCUUCAUCUGAGCAGUUAUGUAUUCAUUCCAAAUGUCCAUUUCUGGAAUGCAUCAUUAAAUUUGCCAGGUCUGGGGCUGGGGAUUUAGCUCAGCGACAUAAGGGCCUGCCUUGCAAGCAGGCAGUAGUGAGUUCGAUCCCCGGUACCGAUAAAAAGGAAAAUUAUUUUUUUAAAAAAUUUGCCAGGUCUGAACUUUUUAAAUUCUUUACGUAUUCUAGCUAUCUAGCUAGUGCUUUAUCUGGAAUAUUUUUCCACUCUCUGGUUUCUUCACACUCUGUUGGUUUCUUUUGUUGUGCAAAGAUUUUUAAUAAGAUUAGAUCCCUUUUGUAAGUUCUUUGUGAUACUUUCUCUACAACAUUCAUAAUGUCUUUUCCAUAUCAUCAUGAGUUCUAUCUAUUCGAUGUUCUAUUCAGUCUUCUAGCAGAUUUCAUGUUUCUGUUUUAAUAAUUAGGGAUUUGAUCCAGAUCAAUUUUAGUUUAGUGUAUCAUGAAAAUAUGGGUCUAGUUUUAAUCUGUCAAGUGGAAAGCUAGUUUUUCCAGUAUAAUUUAUUAAGUAGGUGUAUUUUUUACAAUGAAAGUGUUUGGCUCCUUUGUCAAAGAUAAGGUGGCUGACUGUGUUUGGAAUUGUUUCUGUAUAUGCUAGUGUGUUCCAUUGAUUUAUGGGUCUGUUAUUUCCCCAUUACCAUACUGUUUUGUCACUGUAGCUUGAUAGUAUAAUUGAAGUCAAGGAUUGUGAUGCCAUCCUACCUUGCCUUUGUUUCCACGAAUGGGUUUUGCUUAUCACUUCAGCUUCCAAAUGAAUUUUAGCAUUGUUUCCUCCAAAUCUGUAAUGUAUGAUAUUGAUAUUUUGACCAAGACUGCAUUAAAUCUGUAAAUCAUUUUUACAGGAUGGCCAUUUUCAUUGUAUGUGUUCUUUCUUCCCAAGAACAAGGAAAAUCUUUCCAUUUUUUUCAUAUCAUCUUCAGUCUCUUUUUUUUCUGAGUACUGUAUGUUUCAAUGUAAAGUAUUUUACUUCUUUCCUUACAUUGAAACUUAAAUAUUUAAAUUUUUUGGAUGCAAUUUUGAAAGGUGUUAUUUCCAUAAUUUUCCUCUCAGUGAGUAUCCUAUUCAUAUAUAGGGAUGUUUUUGAUUUUUGCAUGUUGACUUUCUUUGCAACUACAGUAGUGAAUUUUUUAUUAAAUUUGGAAUUAUUUUGGUACUGUUUAUGGGGUCUUCUAUGUAGAGUAUCAUGUCAAUCACAAUACUCACAAUUUAACUUCUUCUUUUCCUAUCCUUAUUCCUUUUAAUUUUUUCUCUUGUCUAGUUGUUCCAGUUAAUGCUUCCAGAACUAUAUUAAACAGGAUUCCUGGCAGUGGACACCCUUGUCUUGUUCCUCAUUUCACAGGAAUUCUUUCAGUUCUUGACCAUUCAGUAUGCUGUUGGUUUGGCUGUUGGUUUCUCAUAGAUCUCAUAAAUGUUGUAUCAGAUAAAGAUUAUCUAUACCAACUUUUUGUUGUUUUUCCCAUGUUUGCAUAUUUGACUUGUCAAAUGCUUUUUAUGCAUGUGUUGAGAUGAUCAUGCCAUUUUUGUCCUUAGCUGUGUUAAUAUUGUGUAUUAAAUUCAUUAAUAUACUUAUUUUCAACCAUCCUGCAUCCAUUGGAUGAUCCUUGCUUGUUCUGUGUAAUCUUGAUGAUUUGCUGUAUUCUGUUUGCCAAUAUCUUAUGAGGAUUUUUACAUCUAUAUUCAUUUGGAAGAUUUGCCCGUAUCUCUGUUUCUUCAUUAGGUCCUUUACUGGUUUUGGUUUCAUGGUGAUGCUUAUUUCCAGGAAUGAAUUUGGGAGAGUAGAUUCACUUUGAAUUUCAUUAAAGAGUUGCAUGUCUCUGAAAUGUUAUUUAAUUUGCAUGUUUUUAAGUAGUUUUAUUGGUUUCUUUUGCCAGUGAUUGCCAAUUUCAUUGCACUAUGAUCAGACAAUAUGCAUGGAAUAACUUCAGUUCCUUUAAAUUUACUCAAGCUUGUUUUAUGAACCAAUAUAUGUUCUCUUUUAGAGAAAGUUCUGAAUGCAUCUGAAAAAAUAUGUAUUCUGAUGUUGUGGGAUACAACACUCUGCAGAUUCACUAAUCAUGACCUUUAUUAUGGUCAUCAUCUCUGAAGUGAAACUGAGUUAUUCACCAGGCACAGCAGUUUGCAGCAUCCAUUGUUCCAUUCUGCUGGUGUGUUUCUCUUUGGAGCUCUCUGUAGUCACCAGUAGUCAAUGUACCUCUACAGAUUUGAGCCACCCCUCCCACACUACAGCUCAGAGAGAAAGUGCCACUCCUCACUUCCCAUGUCUGCACUUGGUCCCUCUCCUUUCUCUCUCUGCGGGCCCUAAUUCUCACCUUAGAUACUUGCUCAGUCCUGGGAAGCCACUUCUCUCUUCUUCCCCUUGCGCUCUUCUAGCAUCUGGAUUCCAAAUAUCAGAGAAGAUGUGUCACCAUCCUCCUGCCAUCCCAGAAGGCCUCUUGCUUCUUUAAUCCUAUAUUAAACUAAACUAUAACACAAUUCAUAAACUACUUUCUUUGUUUUCAGAAUAGUCAAAUACUCACAGGUGCAUUUAUUUUAAUAUCUUAUAGAUUUGUGGAUUUAUCAUCAUUACUUUUGAAGCUUAAAGUUUGUAAUAUGUAUAUUAGUAAUAAAUGGUAGACUUUUUAAGUUCUUAUCUAUCAGCGGUGUGGUGGGGGUAAUGCAAGAACAACUUUUAUACAAAACAUCAGAACAUUUAGCACUCCUUUUAGUGGUUUAUAACCCUGGUUUUAAUGAUCUUUGCAACACGCUGCAAACAAAUUGAUAGCACAUUAACUUUAGUGUGGUAAGAUAACUUCAUUUGAUAACAGACACAAUGAGAACAUACGUCAUGGGAGACUUUCACUAAGUGAAAUAUAAAUAAUUUUGAAAAAUAGUAUUAUUUUCACAGAAAUGUAGGAUGAUUUUAUAGUGGCAAACUUAUUUAACUUAUUUCUGGUUUUCUUAGCCAUUUACAUACCAUAUAAUAAGGUACAUUUAAGUGCUAGUGUAACUCAUAAUUUUCAUGGAAUCACAUCAUAUAUUUUUCAUGCAAUACAAGCAAAUCUUUAUUAUCCAGUUUUUAUUGAUACCAAUGCAUUGCUUUUAUAAUACCACUUCUGUUCUAAAUAUAUUUCUUUAUAAUAGUUAAAAUGUGCUUUAAAAUGUGGAAUAUCCAUUUAGCUUUAAUAUUUUUUAAUUGAAAGUAUGUGAAAUAUAAAAUAACAAAAUGGAAUAUAUCUUUGAAAUUGUCCUUUUUCUUUCUUAACAUAAAAAGCACUCAAAUGAAAACUAUUGAUUAUCUAAAUAGCUUUAAGAACAUAUUAAAACACAAAAAUCUAGAGGAAUAUAUAAAUAAUGACAACUAUUUUGCAAAGUUGUAAAUUUGAUGGCAAGUUUUAGAUUUUAUUGGGUAAUUCUUUUUGAAUGAAUGGAUAAAAGCAUGCAUAUAUUAAACAAUUUAAGAACAUUAUUACAGAACUCUUUUGUAUUAUAUAUCUAAUUCCUUAAAACUGUUGCAAAUGUUUUCAAACAUGCAUUAGCACAAUAUGAUUUAAAGUAACAUAGGGCUAUAAGUUUAAAUAUUUCUAAAUUAUUAUAUGUAUGUCUAAUUGUAUAAUUCUUAUAAAUAAAAACCAAAAACCAAACAAACACCUUUUGAGGAGAAUACAUCCAAGCUUCCUUCUUUCACUUUCUCUUCCUUUACUCGGCCUAUUCUCUGUCUUAUUUCUUCUCACCAGUCUGCCAUCUCUUGUCUUUCACUGGAAUGUGUGAAGCUUGUACUUUGUGUGUGAGCUUUCCACUAGUGCUCAGAUAUUCUCACUAGUCAUACACCAUGGAUGGAACAGUUCUAGAGGUGAAUCUACAGAUCUCUCACUUCCACAUAAAAACUUUCUUAGCCCUGCUAUGCAAAAUUAAGACUUGCUAUUUCAACCACACAUAUUAAAGUGUCCGGUCUAGUUCUCCAUAUUAUCUAUUUUCCCUUUAAAUAUUGAAAAUUUUACCAUGAUAUUUUUUCAUACCAUUUAUUUUGCUUUUAUGCACAGUGAUAUUUGCUUGUUAUUCACCUUUAUUGCUUAUCUUUUUGUCUGAUCUGAACGUAAGUCUGUAGAAGAAGGUUUAAUAUGAAACAGAAUAGCAGAAAUAUCAAAUAAAGUAUCUGUAACAUAAUGACACUCAGAUAACUGUCAAGUGAAUAACAAUAAAUCCAAGAGAAACAUAAGUUACAGUUAAAGUUUAUAUUCAAUAGUAAGUAAUGAAAUUGUCAUUAUAGACUAGGAUUUUCUUAUAUUAAGGACCUGAUGUGACUGAACUAAGCAGUAUACCACAUCAAACAUCCUCACUAAUACUGAAUAUAUUUUCAGACUCAGAUGAACAGGCUUCCUGUGCAUUCAUUUUUAAUGGCAGUAAUAUUAUGAAAAAUCUACAUAUUUGGAAAACUGUAGGUGCACAAGCCAUCCAUUUCAAUGUAUUUUGCACUAUCAGUUGAGCAACUAGAUGUUUUCUUUCAUCAAAUAGAAGUUAUCAAACACUUGAAUCAUGGAUCAACAGAUAUUUUCUGUGGAAACAAUUCCAUAGUUUAUUUGGAGAUGUCCAAUCUAUUUCAAUUCUAUUUAUGGCAGAUAUGAAGAAAAAUCUUUUUGAUAUACAUUUCAAAAAUACCAUUCCUAUAUUAUAAUAUACUAUAAUAUUCAUAUAUUACUGUAUUGAUAUGGUAGUGAAAAAAGAAAUUUUUGAGCAUAAGACUUAAAAUAGGAUGAUGUAGUCAGAAAUUUGUAAGCAUUUUAAUUGAAUGAGUUCUGUUAGUAUUUGCAAUGGAAGAUCAAGUGAUUUAUCUUUGUAGCAGAUGCAUCUUGAGUUUUUCAACAUGAGAAGAUGAGGAAUGGAUAGGCAGAGCUGAUACAAAUACAGUACUCUUGACAAAUUUUUUCAUUUACACUGCAUGUAUUUAUAUCUGAGAGGUUUUAUGGGUGCCUUUUUGCCAAAUAUGAACAUGCUAAUUAGAAUUAAACUGUAAAGAACAUUUUUUGAAAGGUAAAUUCAAUACAUUUUAUGUAAAAUAAAUUCUAAUAAAAAUAUAAAAGGUCUGCUUAUAAUUGAAAAAAUAGUUACAUGCCUGAAAUUAACUGAAUAAAUUGAUAUCAAAAUUAAGAAAACUGCUGAUUUUAAAACUAUCAGAUGUAGAGCUAUAAAUACAUAUAGUUUAUUAUUUGCUUUACUGGGUGCUUCUCAUGUGAUUUAAUGUAUAUUUAAUUUGAAAAAUUGACUUGAUUAAGUGAUAUAUUACAGUAUUAUGUUUAUUUAUUAACAGAAAAUAUGUUUACUAUAAACUAUUAGUUUCAUUUCUAGGAAUCAAAUUGUUUUUUAAAUUGCUUCUGUUUUGCUGUUUGUCAUAUCUGAAGCAAUGUAAUAAAUUUUUCAUACAUUAUUUUUAAUACUUUAGCCAAUAUAUUGCAAAUGAAAUAGAGCAUAUUUCUGUAAUUCUUAAAUUAUAUAAAGAGAAUAUAUAUACUUUUAAGCUUCCCAUUCAUUGCUUAUAUAAAUCCAUUUUACAUAUAUAAUAAAACAUUCCAUUUAAAAUAAUUUUCUGAUUAAGCCUGAUAUUAUGAAACAUGAGUGAAAAACAAAGAAAAUUUACAAUGUUGUAUUAAGUGAAAGAUAUAAAAAUGCUGAUAAAAAUAUGGAGAAAAAUGAAUUUUUAUUUGAUGAUUUUAAUUAGUAUAGGUACUCAGGAAAAUAGUAGAAUGUUACCUAACAAAAAAAAUUUUAAUACUGGUACUACCAUAUGAUCCACCAUACUCAUUCAUGGGUACACAUCCAAUGGAAAUGAAAUCUUUAGAAACCUAACCUUUCAUGCUUAUUAUAGCAUUAUUGAUGAGUCAAAAAACACAGUCAUAUAGGCUGCCUAUGAAACAGAGAAGAGAUAAAGAAGUUGUGGUUAAUAUUGAAAGCAGAAUUUUUCCACCACAGAAAGAAUGCAAUGCAGUCAUUCACAGCAACGUGACAAUUAGAGAAAAUUAAUUAUCCUAAGUGAAAUGUCAGUCAGAGUAAGACAAUGUCUCAUGUUCUUAUUCAUUUGUAUAAGAUAAAAAUUCAGUGGAGUAGAAAAUAAAGUGAUAGUCAUAAGGGACAAAAAGGUUAAGGGAUGAGAACUACAGAUAGAUUAGAUAAUGCAUGCCAAAAUACAAUUAAAUAUGAGCAACUAGUUCUGGUGUAGGAUAACACACGGGAUAACUUUAGGAGAUAAUUUAUGCUUUACUUUUAAAAAACUGAAUAUGAGAGCCCAAAGUUUCCCAAUACACAUAAAAUAUAAAUAUGUUAGGAAAUGACAAUCCUUAGUGCCCUGAGUUUCAUCAUUACAUAUUUUACACAUCAAAUUAUUUUAUACAUAAAAAUAGUUAUGCUUCAAUGGAUUUCAUUUAUAUGUAUAAGCUGUAUGUACCAAUACAAUAAAAAUGAAAAAAUUGAAAAUUCAGAAAAAUAAGAUAUAAAAUUAAUGUACAUGGCAAUAGGAUUGCAAAAACAACUAAUAAAAAUGAACUCACUCCGUGAGUUAAUGCCUGUAAACCAAGCAGUUGAGCAGGCUAAGACAGGCCUUUCAUAGGUAACUCAGUGAGAUUUUUAUCUCAAAGUAAAAAUGAAUGCACAAAGCUAGGGUAGGGACAUAGGUAACUGCAAAUUCAUUGUGACACACACAAACGUGUGCAUGUGCACACACAAGCACAAACACCCUCCAAAGCAUCAAGAAUAAAGAUACAAGACAUAAGAAGCUAAAAAGAAACAAUAGCACUACAUUGCUCUUGAAAAGCAGUGCAAAUAAGAAAACAGAGAAGUAUCUUUAUGUACUAAGAAAUAAAGACAGUGAAUGUUCCAUUGUAUUCAAAAACAGUGUUUUGUAAAAAAUAGGUAAAAUAAAAGCUUUUUGUGAAAUAAAAAGCUGAAAAAUUAGUCAAUGAAAUGAAUUUAAAUGAAAGAUUUGCUGCUCACUGUGAAAUGGAGAAAAAUGAAAUGAUUGGAAUAUCCAAGAAAUAUAAAACAAUUCAUAAAGAAAUAAGAAGUAUAAUUAAAUAUCAGAGACUAAAACUAGAACAGAGAAGAAGAAAUACUUGAAGUAACAAUAAACAAUUAUUUUCAAAAUCAAUGUAAGAAAACAAACCAUAAGUCUAAUUAAUUCAGAGUUGCAAAAAAUAAAUACCAAAAAAAGAAUAGCAAAACAUGUAAUCAGGUCAAUUUUAACUUCCUGGAGGGAGAGACACACACAUACACACAUGCACAUCUCAAAAGAAAUUAAACCAGAUAAAAAACAUUUCCACUAAGAAAUAAAGAAAAUACAUCAAAAUUUUUUACAUUUAAGCAUGCUAAAACAUACAUCAAAAUUAGUAGUGCUAAAAUAAAAAGAUACAUCAAAACAACACCCAGUAUCCAUCAAAGUUGUCUUUUGUCAGUAGCAGAUCUGACUUCUAAAUACAUUAAAUUUUUCAUAAUAAAGAAAACUUCUGGUGAAUGAAUGUAAAAUAUGAAUUUAUUUUUAACUUUUAAUUGAUCUAAUAGAUAAUUAUUUGAAAUAAGAGCAAAAAUGUAUUUUGUGAUAUUAAAUAUGAAAAAGUCAAAUCAAUAUAUUGUAAUGAAUGAAAAACUAUUAUGUCUUCACUAGCAAUGUAGCACUGUAGUACAAAUUGGAAGAGGACUUAAGAUUUCGGUCAUAGACUUAAUGUGCAUUGUCCACACUAGGGCAAACAUUAACACAAAAUUUUAAUAAAAAUGUGUAAGGCUUGUACCCAUAUAUUUGUCAUAUUAAAAGUUCCACUAAAAUAAGGGAAUCUAAAAGUACAGAAAAUAAAAAGAAAAUAAAAAUCCUCAAUAAUAGAAAACAGACAGUGUAGCUUUUGUCUGCCUGGGUGUUGGUUUGUUUGAACAGUGUCACACUAAGUCAUUCAGUUGCUCAGGCUGUGCCCUAGGUUGUGAUCUCCUUGCUUAGCCUUCCAGUGUGUUGAGAUUACAGGAAAACACCACCACAGUCAGGUAGAUAUAAUAGAUUUUACUCAGAUAGGACCUAUAUUUGUAAUCACUUGAAAUAUAAUGUUCUAAACAUACAAGUCAAAAACAGAGAUUUUUAAUUGGAGAAACAUACCACCUAAAAGACAACUUAGAUAUCCAGACUCAUGUAGAUUAAAAAUGAAGAGAUAGUGAUAAUUGUUUCACUCAGACACUAAAGCAAUCUACUCUGGCUAUACUAAUUUCACCUAAAGUAAAUUUCAGGAGGAGAAUAAUUUUUAGAUGUAAAAAGAGUCAAAAGAUAACAAUAAAAAGGAUCAGUCUUUCAAGAAGACAGAGCAAUCAUGAGGUUAUGUGCAUCUCACAGAAACAUGCCCAAGUAUGAAGACAAAAAGCAAUAAGACUGCCGGGAGAAAUAAACAAAUCUGAAGUUACAAGUGGAGGUGUCAACAGUUCUCAUGCCAUAAUUGAUAGACUCAGCAGGCAGAAAAUCAAUAAGAGUACAGUGACAUCAAAUCUUGCAAUUAAAUCUACUGGAUCUAAUUGACACUUGUAGACUGGCUUAUCCAACAGCAGCAGACGACACAUUUGUCUCAAGUUCGCAUAGAACAUUUCCUAAGGGGGGGAAAAACACUUCUGGACCACAAAAUACACCUAAACUAAUUUAAAAGAACAGAAAUCUUAUGAAGUGUCUUCUUGGAACACAAUGAUCUAAAACUAGAGAUCAAUAAAAGAAACAUAACUGGAAAAAUAAAAAAUAUUUGGAUUAAUCAGCAUACUUUUCAGUAGACCAAGAGUAAGUGAAGUCUCCAGAGAUAAAAUUAGAGAACAAAUUUAGUAUAUGGCAAAUGUCUAUUUUUAUUAGUUUUAUAAUUAUUCCAUAAACCCAAAAUUAUUUUUAAAAUAAAGGUAUUAAUUAGUUGACGAUAUUACUUGGUGGUAGAGCUAUUGCUUAACAUGCAUGGGUAAAAUCACCAGAACUACCAAAAAGUACAAAAAAAAAUGUUUUUAAAAGUAAAUCUAGUCAAUACAACAAUAAAGUUGUAAUAAUAUAAUAAAGAAUAUUUUAAAAGAAAUAGAGGAAAAAUAAAAGGACAAAUACAAAAAACCAAAAUAAUAAAAAGUUACAUUAAUAGAUAAAUGAAAGCAACCUGAAAGUUAUAAGAAAGAAUUUUUUAGAGUAACACAGAAAAAGUAGGAUUCAACUGUUUUUCCUGUCUCUCUCUUUUUUUACAUUGCUAUUCAAAUCUAUUAAGAAUUCUCUUGUCUUAAAAAAAAUGAAAGAGAGAGAGAGAAAAAGAAAAAAGAAAAACAAAUAGGAAAAGAAAAGAAAUGAAACCAAAAGAAAAACCAACCAAGCCUAGGAUCUUGAAGUAGCUAAUUAGGAUUGUAACCACAUAGUAUCUGGUUGGUUCCUUUUUGAUGAGUUGGUACAGGCUAGAGCUAAGUACAAAAGUUUAUGAAUGCUUUGAAAGAGUAACAAAGUGCAAAGAGGAUGACUGCAGGAAGGUGCCCAGAGGAGACACCGAGCACUGACAGCUUCAAAGAGCCUCAGCCACCUGCACCUCCUGGAGACAGAGGUGUCCCGUGCCGAGGUGGGUCUGGGCCUAGCUGUGCAAUGGGGCAGCUGAGUGGAGAGGUGCUUGUGUCCCCUGCAGCAGAGUUCCAUAGUGUGUUUAGUGUUCUUCUGCAAACUGAAAUGAGGAGUCGAUUUUUCUGGCUGAAAUUUAUACUGAAGACUGGUCCCAGACCUUGUUAACCUGGGACAGUGGGGUCCUCACAGCUCCCACAGGCAGCCGGCUCAGAAUCCGGCCCGGGGACUUCUCACGCUCCAGGGGACGGCUGGGAGAUUUGUCCCUCUGCAGCUCUGUUCGCCCCUCACGGUAGCGGUGGGGUGUGCUUGGCUCCCGGGGGUGGCUGGGGUUUUCAGGUGGUGCUGGGCUGGAGGCCACAUGCUUGGUGAUGUGCUCAUUGUACGUUGGGAGGCCUCGCUUGUUGGGGCUGCUGCGGGAGGUGGAGGGGACCUGGUGGUGCUCAGUGCCGGUCUCCUUCACAAGGUUUCCUUUGCAGCAAAUAACCCUUAAUUUAUCCUGGUAUGAGGAGGCCAGGUAAAUCGCUCCCGAGGAAAUUGCAGGGCCCAGGUAGCUUGGGUUUGGGAUUUCCAAAUAGGCUCGGGCAGGAGUCCCCAGUGAGCAACGUGCCUGGAUCUCAAUGACAAGUGAGUUGAAGUGGGUCCUGUCUCUCUUUAUUCCCUCUGUAUAUGUAAUUAAAAUUAAGUUAAAACCAUAAACAUAUCUAAAUAACAAUGGAGAAACAAAGCUAAUACUAAUCAAUACCUAAUAAUACUGGCAUAUGAACAUACAGCAACGCAGAUUUGGAAAAAAUAAUGCUACUACAGAUAAGGAAGGUUAUUUUAUAAUUAAAAAGUUUUAAUUUAUAGAUGGUACACGUAAAUACAAAAUAACUUUGCAUCUGCUAACAAAGGUUCAAAACCAACAACAACAUAUGAUAGUAAUACAAGUGGAAAACAUGGUGCCAGCCAUACAUUUCUUUCAACUGAUAACAGAAUAAAUAUACAAUAAUUUAGCUAGGAGUUAAAAUUUUAAAUAAUAUUAUCAAUUAAUUUGACUAAUUACAAUUACAUAAGUUUGAUCAAAGUUAGAAGAAAACAUUUUUAAGUUUACUCAAAAAGUUUGCAAGGGUAGAUCAUAUUUUAGGUUGUGACACAAUGCCCAUAAAUUAUAAAGAUAUGUGAAACAUGUAGAUUGUCCUCUGAUUAAAAUCAAACAAUAGUAGGAAGGAAUAUAAAUCUGAGAACACAGGCUGGAAUUUAUUUCACUGUAGCAUGCACCACAUAGUGCCUUUAACCACGGAUUCAAUCCCCAGCAUGGCAUAGAGAAAAAAGGAAAGAAAGUAAAACACCCACAUACACGGAAAGCAAUUAACAAAAUUACAGUAACCAUGAUCAAAGCAAUGAGAAAAGUUAAAAAUGCAAUUAAAAAUUAGUUAUAACUGGGUAAAAUGAAAAUAAAAUUACCCAAACAAUUGUUGUCAUGCAUUUGAGAAAAUACUCAUAGAAAACUGAAUAGCAAUUAAUGUUCUUUUAGGAAAUCUCCUAUCAUAGAUGUAAACCUACUGCAAAAGAAA